rnacentral:misc_RNA from 1 species
AACGCACAUUGCGCCCCUUGGUAUUCCGAGGGGCAUGCCUGUUCGAGCGUCAUUAUAACCACUCAAGCCUAGCUUGGUAUUGGGGUUCGCGUGCCCGCGGCCCUUAAAACUAGUGGCGGUGCUGUCUGGCCCUAAGCGUAGUAAUUUUCUCGCUAUAGAGUCCUGGUGGUUACUUGCCAGAACCCCUCACAUUCUUAGGUUGACCUCGGAUCAGGUAGGGAUACCCGCUGAACUUAA